rnacentral:rRNA from 1 species
UACGUAGGGUGCGAGCGUUAAUCGGAAUUACUGGGCGUAAAGCGUGCGCAGGCGGUUCGUUGUGUCGGCGGUGAAAGCCCCGGGCUUAACCUGGGAAUGGCCGCUGAGACUGGCGAACUGGAGUGUGGCAGAGGGGGGUGGAAUUCCGCGUGUAGCAGUGAAAUGCGUAGAGAUGCGGAGGAACACCGAUGGCGAAGGCAGCCCCCUGGGCUGACACUGACGCUCAGGCACGAAAGCGUGGGGAGCAAACAGG